rnacentral:lncRNA from 1 species
CCUAACAUAUUCUUGAUUCCCUAGAUUUAUUGGCUCAGUCUCAUUCAAAUUAGGAUUCGGUUUGUCUUCAAACUGUUCCAACUCUUUGCUUAUUUCUUCUAGUACUUCUUCUUCAUCAUAUUCCCUAUCCUGUUUCAUUACAUCUUAAUUAGUUUGGAUUUUAAGAUCAGGCUGAAAAUUUUGCAUGCAUGUCAUGUCAUUAGAAUCAGCAUAAAGAGAAUUGUAUAAAAAAAGAAACAAAUAAAAUAUAUUAGACACGAAACAAAAGGGAUAUUGCAUUUCAUUAAAAGAAAAGAUAGAAGGGUUUAAACAUAGAUGCUAACAUAACAUAGGCAAAGGCCCCGACUAUGCCCCGUACCUUCAACAGGUAAUUCAUCGUCAGAGAAGCUGAUCCGAUUGACCUCAAAGAUUUUUCUGACCAUCUUCUCAAGCUGAUUUACUGUAAUCUCCCUAGGAACAUAUGCUUCAUUUAAUACCUUCAGUAUAAUAUCACGAUGUUCCUUGGAACGCAACAACAAAGAUAAGAGGGAAAUUUGAGCAGGGGUUUUAUUCAACUCGUCUAUUAUUUGAUACUCUGGCAAUUUCAUCUUUUUCAAAAAUUCUUUGGCAUCUUCUUCGGUGACAGGCUUUUUAAUAGAUGAAGGUCCACUCACAAUUGGCUUGGACUUUCUUAAACUUUCAGGCACAAAGCAUCUUCCUGAUCGAGUCAAACCCCCUACCUCAUCUAUAUCUUCCACUACUUCCUUCCCGUGAUAGGUCAUCACUGUCAAGAUGGGCUUACUCGGUGCUCCUAUCACCGUCAACUUAGGUUUAUACUGACUUAAAUCAACAUACCUUAUGGCACCUUGUACUGUGAUCAGUGGUUUCUUUGCGCUUUCUGGGGCUUUAUCUUCUCUCAUUCCUUUCUGGUUCAAUGACAUUGCUUUCAAAGACUCUGAUACAUUCGUCGAUUUCUCCUCACUGGUUUGUCUCUUGACAAUAAGCUUAUAAUACCUUGAUGAUUCUUUCCCAUCAUAUAUCAAUUCUAACAUAUUUGUUUCAACGAGGGUUGGCAGCGAAUUCUAGUUAAUAUUCGGAACCUCCGGGGCCUGGACCAGCAUUUGAUUUGUGUCAAUUAAAUCUUGGAUAGCUCUCUUUAAAUGCCAGCAUUUCUAGAUAUCGUGGCCUGGCAUGUCAGAACAGUAUGCAUACCUCAAAUAAUAAUCGUGAUUCCUCGGAGGUGGAUUUGUAAGCCUUCUUUGAAUUGGGCUUAAGACCUUCAUCUUUCUCAACCUAUCAAAUAAGCUAGCAUAUGACUCCCCAAGAGGUGUGAACUAAUUUUUGACCGCCUUAUCUUUCUUGUACUCGGGCCUGGGUUGGAAACCGGGUCUGGAGUGGUUUUGGUAAUUUACUGGAGCUGAUAGGUAAUUUUAUGGAGCUUGCGUGCGCCAUUGCGGGUAAGAAGGGGUUUAGGCAUAUGGCUGCGCGUUAUAUACUGGGUACGAGGGUGGUGGAAUGGAAUAUAAAGGGUUUUGUAUAGGGUAGUAAUAGUGGGGAGGAAUAUAUAGAGCUUGGGCGUAGACUUGGGCUUGGACUUGGGCUUGGGGAUAGGGGCGAGGCCAUUUUUUGGGAUAGGAAUGGGUUUCAGCUACGACAGUCUCCACGUCCUCUUUCUUCUUUUUACCUCCGAAUGCACCAGAUCCACCUUGAAUUGCUUGUGUGGUGGCUUUCAAUGCGGCAAAACUCACUAUUCGGCCGGUCUUGAUUCCGUCCUCUAUCAUCUCCCCCAUUUUGAGGACUUCAAUAAAAGACUUUCUCAUUGCCGGAAGUAAAUGUUGAAAAUAGGUCUCAUCCUGUGCCUGAAUGUAAAUCUCUACCAACUUACUUUCCUUCAUUGGAGGCUUUACCCUGGCAGCCUGUUCACGCCACCUUAUCUCGUAUUCCCUAAAACCUUUAGUGCUUUUAUUCUUCAUGUUGACCAAGGAUUUUUUGUCCAAAAUCAGGUUGACGUUAUACUGAAAAAGUUGCACAAACUUAGAAGCUAAGUCAUCCCAGUUGUUUCACUUGUCGAUAUCUUGAUUGACAAACUAUUCUGAAGCCAGAUCGGAAAGACUCUCGCCAAAGAAAGCCAUGAGCAGCUCUUCUCUUUCUCCUACAACCCUCAAUUGGUUGCAAUAACGUCUCAAGUGUGCCACGGGAUCACCGUGCCCAAUAUACUUCUCAAACUUGGGCAUUUUAAAACCGAUGGGAAGGUUGACGUCUGGGAACAUGCAAAGAUCUUUAUAGGAAACACUCUUAUAACCUCCGAUUCCCUGCAAAUUCCUCAUGGCCUGUUCUAAACUUUUCAACUUUCGCUCUAUGACUUCUUGUUCCUCUGUUGUGAUACGUUUCUCUGUAUCAAAUGGAAAUACAAGUGGCUGAGUGUACCCAUACGGUUUAUUCAUUCUCAAAGUAGGCUCUGGGGAAUAAUACUGACUAUCUGGAACCUUCAAUACUGGCUCACUGGCAGACCGAGGAAACCCCAUUGUCGGACGCAUAACAUAUGUGGGAGCUUCAGGUGGUGGCGGAGCCACGAACACCGUCGUGAUCGGUGGCGCCGGCUGAGCAGCGGGUCUUAGUUAGGGAGCUGCCAAGGGCACACUAGAGUGCCAGGAUAAUAAUGUCGCAGAGUGAAUCCUGACGUGUGUUCAGGUGACUCAGUGGGAGCAGAGAAUUGGGCCUGAGAGAGCGGUGGGCAAUUAGAGAUACUCCCAAGACCUUUAGGGAGCGGAGGAGGAGGCAUGCCACUAGCCCAUGCUCGGUGCAAAUCUAUCAGUUAUUGCCUGAGCCUUACUACCUUAUCAUUGCGUUCUGAGCUUUCUUCCCUAGGAUCCUGAUCUGGGUCAAUGAGAGAAUUUUCAAUCUCCCUGCUAGCCAUGGUGGGCUUUGAUUUUAUCUAGUGAAGUACGGGUGACUAGCCAGAGUGCUACAAACCUACCACUGUUAUCUGAAAGGACAUGCUCACCAAAGACAACAUCCGUUAGGAUUAGGUCACACAACAAGCAUGGGAAUCACAUUGGUAAAAUUGCCCUAGAUUCAUGUUCAUUUCUACCAACCUUUGAGGGUAUCGAGGUCAUUUUAACAUCAUCCCAAUUUUCAUCUACACUUCCUCUAAACACACUUUUUUUCGCCCUCAUUUCCAUCUCUCUUCUUUUUUUCAUAUCAGUCUCUGUUAUUUUCCUUUCUUGUCUUAUCAUCCUUUCUUUCUUUUCUUCUCUCGCUAUCUGCCUUCAUUUUAUCAUUCUUUAUGGCUUUUGUUUUUCUUUAAAAGAGGAAAAAUAAUGAAAAACAAUGAAACAAAAUGAUUAGAUCGAACCCAAAAGUAGGUUGCCUACGUAUCAUGUUGUACAUGAAUCGGAUCUUGCGUAGUUCGGGAUGCAUAUGCAUAAACAUCACACAAUUGAAGGUUUUUUUUAUACGAAAAAUGAAAACAAAUAAACAAAAGAAAGACGUAACAUCAUAACAUUUGGAUGAAAGAAACAACAAAAACAUACAACGAAUUUAGGACCACUUUAAAACUAAACAACAAAUACAAAACAACAUUCUAAACCCCUAACGACAUACGUGCAAUUACUAAUAAAGACCCAAAUAUCAAAAACAACUUUACUCUGACUUAAAAUAGAAACCACCCUACAGUGACAGAAACAUAAAAGACUCAAAACUACAUAAAGAUAAAUUCUCUUUCAAACUGGUGCUCUGUGUGAUGUCCCCGGCUGAGAUGAACCCGUCUGUGAAGUCCCCUUUUUUUCACUCAGACUUUGCAACAUAUCCUGCAACGACGUUUUGAUACCUGGGAACAAACUUCUCACCCGUAUCCCCGCCUCUUGGAGAUUACACCCGCAAAGGUUUUUCUGACACCCAUCCACAAUUAUGAUCAAACGUGACAACUGAACUCUCAAAAACUCCACCUUGGCACCCGGAUCUUCCUGCUCAUCAUCCUCUACCAUGAUUGCUUCCUGUAUUAAGGGUCUACUAAUGCCACGGGGCAGAGAUUGUAGCCAGAUUUCACAGUUUUGAGUGCAUCCUGGAUUUUUCUCGAGAGUACCGACACCUAGCUUUAUCGCGUUAUUCCAGAAUUGCUUAUAUUUGCUUUCCCCCACGGCUUGGUUUUUAAAGUACUAUACAUUCUUUAGAAGGUCCAUUAUUGGGGGACGUCUUGCAUCCUACCCAACUGACGCAUCACCUUUCUUGGAUUGUAAGGCCUAGUGCAGUUAAGUCCUAUCAAAACUAGAAAGAUUUGCAUUUGAGGUCCAAUCAAGAUUUUCUUAGGACGAAACCACAUAUAGCACCAAAGAAUGUUGUUCGGAGUUCUUGAUUCGAGAAAUUCGAUCCAGGAAUUGACUCUCAUAGGAAAAGAAAAUUUGUCAAAACGCAUUCUCUCUUACAUGGCUUGCACUCGAUCAUUCAGACAACGGUCAAUCACAUCUGUUUUAAUCAAAGAAGGCGUAUGCAAGUGCUCCAUCAUCCGCAACUGCAAUAUCAGAUUACUCCCCUCAAAAAAUCGUACCCCUCAUUUUACUUCAGUUAAAGCCUUAUAUAUUUCUGUUAAGAUCAUUGGUACAAUGGUGACCCCAUUUUUUUUCUCGAAUAAAGCUAUCACCACUGAUUGUAGACGAGUAUUGAUACACCUCUCAUCUAACGGGAACACUAAGAUGCCCAACAAAGCUAGACAGCAAACCUCAAGACGACGUUGUUCCCAAAUUUUUUUGGUAGUACAGAAUUCAUCCCAAAAGAAGUCGAAACCCUCUAAGGACCCAAAUCUAGCAAAGAAAUAGUCCAAGGAAAUCCAAAAUUGUUUGAGACAUCCCAGAUGCUUGUUAUAUUUUAAUCCACAGAGUCGAAGGAAUUUCUUACGAGUAUGAUUGCGGGCUAAAAUCAUCUGCUGACCCAUAUAAGUCAACCAAAACAAACGAGACACUUCUGCCAGGGUAGGAGUCAAUUCACAACUUCCGAACCUAAAUACCAAAUUAUUUGGAUCCCAAAAAUUCAACGCAGCUUCUAUUAGAUCCGGAUGAGGUGUGAGAUCCAUGAGUGCUACAAGAUUGCCUAACACUUUCCUCACUUCAUGAUUUUCAGAGUAAUUGAACGUUCCCCACCACUUGAUCAACUUUUUGGGUACCUUGACAACCAUAAGAACUCUAGACUUUGUGGACAGAUCCAUCCUGUAGUAACAGAUAAGAAAUUAUCUCAAAAAAUUGCUAAGAGCAAAAGGUUCCCAACCAAUGGGAAUUUGAUGCGGACAUACGUCGAUGGGACAGACCGCUUCAUGACUCCAAAUCUCCGAACAAUAACACUGAAUAAAAUCAGCCUACUUGGAUAACAACUCUAGGUUACGGGGUAAAAGACCUAGCCUAAGACUAAGACGAUGGCCAAAAUAAAGAUUGCCGGACCCACCGAGGGUUGCCUACGUAUCCCGCCCCGAGAGAGGGGAAUCAGGUAUGCAUAGUUCAUCCAAAUUGGACAAAUAAAGAUUAACUAAUAGACUGACCCUAACUUAAGAGACACAACCAAAGACCAAAAAAAAAAGGGCAGCCCGAUGCACUAAAGCUACCGCUAUGCGCGGUGUCUGGGGAAGGGGCCCACCACAAGGGCGUAUCGUACGAAGCCUUACCUUGCAUUUCUGCAAGAGGCUAUUUCCAAGGCUUGAACCCAUGACCUCCUGGUCACAUGGCAGCAACUUUACCAGCUACUCCAAGGCUCCCCUUCAAAAACCGAUGAAUUAAAAAAAAUUGGGUUUUUAAUUUGACACCAACGACUAUGAAAGAAAAAUCUUUUUUGAAAUUUUCGAAUUAUGAAUACGUGGUAAAGGAAUAAAAGGAUUUUUUUUUUUUUGCAUUUUCCUUUAUAAAACCUCCUAUUGUAAAAAAAAUCUUUUCUUUUUGAAAUUUUUGAAUUGUGAAAAACAAAAGCCAUAAAGAACUCUAAAAACUACAAAUCUCUUUUUUGGACUUUUUUUUUUCACACACUUUACUUCUAACACAUGCAUUACCCCACAUCAGUCUGUCAAAUGACCACAUUACCCUCAAAGAUGCAACAUUUAGCACGUAGGAAUGCUUUAGAGGUAAGUCUCCUACAAAGGACCAAAUGGGUCCCGCUAGGUCUUAAUAUGAUGCACAUAAGCAUGAUCUAAAGGCUGACCUACGCUGACGUUCACUAACAAGGCCGUUCAGGGGAGCAUAUAAUCGAUAAUGGCUGCUUAGCUUUCCACCUACUCCAUACAUCCAACGGCUCCCCCCUAAAAUAAAGGUGACUCAACUAGAGUUCGUACACACGACGUGUGCUCCGAGACUUAUUGCGGAAAGAAUGACUCAGGUUAUGCACAUGAUGUCAGAUAUAAAAGCGGUACACAUAGGAUAAAUACUGUAAACAAAGAGCACGAAAACACACAAAAAUGAAAACACAAACAAAAAUCGCAAACAAUGCUUAUACACUCGUAAUGCCAAACAAAGCCGAUACGACUCCAAAAAAAGCUUGGAUUCUGAAAUUGUCCCCAGCAGAGUCACCAGAGCUGUCACACCCCCUUUUUCAUACUCCAAAAAGAUUCGUUUUAAGUUCAAAAAGGUUUUAUUGUUAAAGUGAAAAAAUGAAAAAAAAAAUCGAAAAGGACCUUUUAUAUUCAAAACUUAGAGUUGCCACUUGGCAUAAAUACGGUGUGCCAAGUCACCUUUUGGAAAAUCCUUUUGAAAAUGGUUUGACUCUUUUAAAACUGAUUUGCGAACAGAGAUUCUGGCUAAGGAACUCUGUUGACCGAGGGGAAGGUGUUAGGAACCCUUCGAUCCCGUGGUUCGACCACGGUCGCUUGGUAGAGAGUAUCAGCUAAUUUUAAACACUACGAAUGUAUAAACCACACAAACAAACAUCAAAUAAAUCAAACAAAAUUUAAAAUCCAAAAUAAUGUCCAGUCCGAGUUAUACAGUCCCAAAAAAUAGAAAAUUACAAAAAAAAUAUAAAUCCUAUUCUAAACUACUCCUAGACUAAGCUCCACUGGCUCACCCAUUGUCUCGGGCCUUCAUUAAGCGCCGUCUUCUAGUACAACUUUCUCGGGGCAUUCCCCAGAUAAAAUGAUACAGAUACUUCGAGACAUUCCCCGGCCAAAUGAGUAUAAUUGAGUCGAAUACGAUAAUAUAAAACUAUCUCAACACAGAUCUCAAACAUUCAAUCAACUCACAAUCUCUAGAUUUGCCUACCCGACCUAUGUCUUGCCUAUUCUAAUCGGCGUAUCUUGAUACUACCAAAUUCAAUUAACGUUCAUUUCAAGUCAAACGACUAAUGAAUCAAACUAAUCAAAAGUCACCAAUUAUAUCAAGUUUUCAAUUCCCGCCCCACUUAUUCCAAGUGACUUCAAAUCUUUCAAUUACUUCAUUCAUGUGAAUCAAUUAAUCAAUAUCAACCACAGUAAUUACGGUUGCUCAAACACAAUAUCGAAACAUAUCACCAUAUCACAAUCAUCAACCAAACACAAUAUUCAACUCCAACACAUCAAAUAUAGUAAACAUUAAAUAAAAGAGGGGGAAUAGAAUUGGACCUUUAGUGUAUAUUUGACGAUUUACGAAGAGAAAUAAGAGUCGCUCCGAUAACCUCAAAGAACACCAGUAAAACCUCUACUCUCCAAAUCACACGAAUGACAUUCCCAGAAUAACGAUGACCCCAAUUUCAAUUGGAACAGAACAAAUUCCCGAACAGACUUGAUGAACAACAAAAUCGGGAUUACGAAGUCUAGCCCACACCAAUGAUACCCACCAGGAGCAAUGAAUUCCUAAAACCUGUUUUUGGCGACGGAACAUAAAACUCAGAAGAACCCCAGAACCUCGAUACGCGACAGAACCAAAAGAAUAAGAUAACUUGAGCUACGGUUUGCUCAAAUGAACAAGAACGGACAAAAACCACUCGGAUUCAGGCGCUCUUAACCUUUUCCGGUGGAAUCUCGACUAAAACUCCAAGAAAACUAAGAAAAACUUUGUGGGAUUACGGGACUAGGACGGGAUUUGAACUCUUAGUACCUUAAUCUGACUGAAAUAAUAAUCGAUUCCGGCGAAGGAUUCGCCGAAAAAGGCUUAGAUCUAGCCUAUUGUCGCCGGAACAAUGACCCAAACGAAAAACGGUGCUCCUUUCUCGAUCUGCUGAUUUUUCUUUUUGUUUUUCCUCUCUCCCUCGAUUUUUCUUUAACUCCGAUCUCUCUUUCGUCUCCCUCCUCUAUAUCUCUCAGAGUGUUUCUGUGUAGGGGUUUUGGAGAAGAAGGUUUGUGUGUUUUGGUGAGAGUAAAAAAGGGAAUAUUUGGUUUCCUUUGGAGAAGAAAGCCAAGAAGAAAAAAUGUUUCUCCCCUCCACCCCACUUUCUUGUUUCCUCUCUGUAUAUAUAUUAUGUCCAAAAGUGGAAAGAAAUAUGAUGAAGAGGGGUCCUGUGGGUAGGGGGUGGGGUAUGAGUAUAUUGAGCUUU